CGGAGUCUCUGUACGUCUGUCCCCAGGACUAACCCUCUGGUGUGGUGGGGCCGGGCGGCCGGUGUUCUGGCAGAUGCGCCUCCCCUCAGGGGGCCUCCCUCCCUCCCGAGGCCGAGCAGGAACACAGGCAGGGAGGGGAUGCGGACGUAGCUUGCGCUGUCUAGGAGGUGGGGGCCCCAGUCCUCUCUGGCACCUGAGCCCACGUCGGUCAGCACGGGGGUUGGGUUGAGGGGAGCACAUGACUGGGCAGCUGGAACCGGGGCACCCGCCCCGGGGAACCGCCCGUGGGAGGCCUGCAUUCGGGGCCCCAAGGCACUGGAGGCAGAUCCUGAGUCGCAGGGCCAGGGCGGAUGCUCGGAGGGAAGGACAGGAGCCAGGGAGGGAGGCGGGCAGGCACAGGGAGCCGUGUCAGCUGGCUGGGUCCCCACGGGCCUGAAGCCCGCUCCGUGCUCUGCGUGACCUUGGCGGGUUGGCGUGCAUCAGGGCUCAAUGCGCGCAGCAUGAAGUCGGCCGUCCCCACCCCCAGACGCGGACGGUGCGGCUGGAGGAGCCCCGCCGCCCUCCAGCUCCCGCUCCUCCCCUGUCCCGCUUCCCGGCCCGGUGGCCUGGAGGUCACUGUGUGUCUCUAGGAAUCUGUCUGUGCUGAACGCCUUGCGGUGUCUGUGCUCUCGAGCUGGCUUCUUUCACUGGACACGCUUUCAAGGUUCACAGUCCGUGUCAGCAUCUCAUUCCUUCUCACGGCUGGAGAAUCCUCCAUCAUGUGCACACACGCAUUUUGGCUCUCCCCGUCCGUCGAUGGACACGUGGCUUGUUUUGUGGGGAGAGCUGCCUGAACGUGGUGCACAGGUAUUUUCCAGCGGCACCGAGCUAACGCCGUGCCCUAGUGCACAGGGAGAGCCCGGGACGCUGCAGCCGGGGCCGGGCCCUGAGGCGGGGUGCAGGCCCCUCCUGCUCCCCGGGGCCCCUCAUCUCCCUCUGCUCUCCGGGAGGGCUCCCCGCUCCAGCCCUGGAGGCCUUCCCCCCGGCCCCCGCCCACUCCCCGUGCUGUCUCCCCACAUCUUCCAGCAUCAGGCUCCUGGACCCCAUAACCCCAGAAGGGAAAGGGGGGCCCUACCCAGGAGUCCAUGCUCCAGGGCCAUCUGGCCCCACACAUGCGCUUGACGAGCCAGCUGUGUCGCUGAGGGCACUGGCAGGAGAUGCUAAGAAGUGCUUUUAAAGCCUGCUGAGCGUCGUACACUCGUGUCCGGGGCACUGCCCCCCGUCUUGGCCCUGACUCCUCCCCCUCCUGCCCAGGACCCGACUCCGGGCACUUCUCCCCCAGAAAGCUCUCUCUGGCCCCCUCCCCGGUACAGGUCCAGCUCUCUCCCUCUGUGCCCAGCUCCUCGGGCACCGUGUGGACACCUCUGCUUUCGUUACCAGACGGGACUGUCCUGUCUUCCUCCUCACGGGACCAUGACCACUCAUGUCAAAAUGCUCCUCAUCCUGAGCGCCUCGCGGUGUCUGUGGGGACCGGAAGGCCUUUGCUGUCCUGCACUUAGAGGUCCCCAGACUCCCAGAGCUCGAGGCAGCAGAGCAGCUGCGGGAAUCCUGGGCACUGGGAAGCGCCCCGGUGGGGUGGGAUGAAGCGGGUGGACUUCGUGCCUCAGAGCAGGUGGGGGGCAGGGCUAAUCAGAGAUGCCUCCUCCUGAAGCAAGGCGAUGCGGACAGUGGCAUCUGCCCCGUGGCCGCAGUGACCCCGGUGCCCUUGCUGCCACAGGCACACGCGUGCAGUGGGCACGUUUCUCCAUCGAGGGUCCUUCCUCGCGCCUCCCGCAGCGCCUGGGCAGGGGAGGGGGCAGCUAGGCGGCGUGCAGGAGCGUGCGCGCUCUGGGGAGGCAGGCAGGCGGAGCGCUGGCCCGUCGGUCCGGUGGGCAGGCGGCAGGGGCAGGGACCAGAGAAGCUGCUAAGUGCUAAGGGCCAGGCUCCGUGCAAGGGGAUCCUCUAAGCACCACACAGGAAGAGCCCCGCGCGCGUGUCCCUGCCGCUCUGCGCCCCCCGCGCAACCUCGGAUGGGUGCAGGGAGGGAGAUAGCAAGGGAGUUGCGUGUUCGCUCCUUCCACCGUAACGGGGUUACAGCCUCCCGGAGGCCAGUCGAGGACACGAGGACAGAGGCAGAGCAGCCUGGUGCACACCAGGAGAGGGUGUGCUGUGCCCCCCGCGGGAGAAAGGGCGAGACCCGCCUGCCCGUGUCGGAUGCAGACGGGCACUGACCAGGACUCUGGGCCUUGAGCUGCAGGACUCAGGGAGGGGCAGGGCUGCAGCCCCGGCUGGCGAAAGCAGGGAGUCUUUGGUAUUUGGUGGAGAAGACAGGGAGGCAGCCUUCUCAGUGUGCAUGCUAGCUGCGCUGGAGUCGAAGGAGAGUCCAGCGUUUGUAGGCGGCUCUGCCGGGUACUGGCUGUGUGACCAUGGGCAAGUCACUUGACCACUCUGGGCCCCAGCCUUGAGGCAUCAUGGUACAGAGGGGAGCGCUGUGAGGUAGGACUAAGGACACAUGGGUCCUCAUGCCGACUCUGCCCUGAACUCGUCUGUCCUGCCCACAGGACGAAUGUGCAGAAUAUGACCGCACAGGGCGGGUCAGUAUUUGUGAAUGAAUGAUUGAGACCCUGGGUGAGUUACUUGACUCGCUUGGCCUCAUCUGCAAAGCAAGGUGUGCAGAGUAGGAGGUCUCUGGGUCUAGCCCAAACAUACAGUAUUUAAGUCUUUCACCUCAUGGAGACAAGGUAAUUUUUAGGAAAUUUCUCAUUGAGAUUGAUUUCUGAGCCCAGGCAUUGCAAACUGGCACAAAUAAUACAUCAGUAUGGACUUCAGUUUGCCAGAGAGAAAAUUCCAGCCUGAACAGGCUUAAGCUAAAAGAUCAUUUAUUAAGUCAUAUCACAGAAAAGUUGAAGAUCCAGCUUCAGGCAUGGCUGGAUCCAGUGCCCUAACAGGCUGGUUUGAUGUCCCCUCUUGGUUCCACUCUCCUGUCAGUUUGCUCCUAUCUUGGGCAGGCUCCUCGUCACGGUGGCCCUCCAGCGUGAGGUAGCAGGAAGGCAGCUUCCCUUCAGCGAUGUCUGCAGAGGAAACCCACUGGCUCUCAAGAGCCGGCCUUUGGUGACACGCCCAUCUGCAGACCAGAUGCGGUGGCCCCCUGAGGUCCCCAAAGCCAGGCAAUGAUGUCGCGUCUACCUGGGCCCCGUGGGCCAGAUGGUUGGGAGGAUCCCCAGGGGAAUGGGUGCUUCCUGCGGCGGUCCGCAUGCAGUGAUGGCAGAGUCUGCAACGGCCAGAGCUGCUCUGGAGAGAGGUGCAGAGCCCGGGUGUGGGCUGCCGUGGCACGGCUGCCGUCCAGCCCCAUCUCUGUGUUCUCGGGAUCCCAGCUGCUACAGGGCUCUAAGGAGCCCAUAUCCCGGCCUUCAAGAUGCACGCUACUCAAGGGUGGGUCCCCACUUUCCAGCCAAGGCUGCCCUCCUGCCCUGGGACAAGGGCCGGGCACAUGGGCCCCCGCCUGUGUUUCCAGGCCUCCCAGGCCGCUCUCCCCUGGAACAGACAUCAGCUGUGUCAUCUAGCAUCCUGCUCUUGCCCCGCCGCCCCCGUCCCAGGAAGCCCUGCAGGCCUCCCGCAGCCCACCCUCGGGGCCAGCACCUCGGGGGAGAGCUGUCUCCUCCCUCUCUCCAUGCAGAGCCGGGGUUCCCUCCUCUGUUCCGGAACACGUUGCACACGCAGCUUUCUGCACUCGCCAGCUGUGGUCUGUGUGUGUCUGUGCUCCAAGGUGCCGAGAGCCCCUCCGAGUCCCCCCACCGUCCUCCGGACUCCGUGGAUUGCCUGGAACGGUGCGGGGAAGCGGUGGGGGGGUGGGGGGCAACAGCAGAUCAGAUAGGAAGGAGGGACGCCAGCAGCCCUGCUCGGAAGUGUGGACGCCAGAGGUAGAUGACAGGCAGCUCCCUAGAGGGUGGGGACCCCUGGGGCCAGGGACACAUGGAAAGUGCCCAGGGGGAGGCUUCAGCCCCGGCUCCUGUUUGCUCCAUCAGCCCUGCCCAUUCAAGAAGGACAGGCAUCUGGGGACCCCAGAAGCUCAGAAACUGUGAGGGCUUCUGACAAAGCACAGCACAGCAGACCUGAUGGGCCCCAAACCAAGCCCAAGGCGUUCUGUCCUGACUCUUGUUCUGCUUUGAUCAAAAAUUAAUCUCAUCCUGAAUGCUUUGUGGGGACCAGUGGGGGCAGAGCACCUGUUCCCUGCUCUGACUGUGGGGGUUGUGGAGGCAGAGACCUCCCACACACACACACCCUGCUGCCAGGGAAGGGGGAUAACAGCCCGUUCUCACAGAGCAGGGACCCCCUCACCCCGUCGGCGCCAUCCCAGCUACCCCCUCAGGACCCAGCAGCCCCCGGACUCCGCUCUGCCCCCACCUGCUGUCCAUAGCCACUGCGCGGAGCGGGUGGGCUCUUACCGAGUGGUCGUAUUUGGGAGGCAGGUGUGACGGUAGAGCCCCUAUGAAUUGGGGUUUGAUUUCCUGAGGCAGCAGGCCCAGGUGCCUCUGUCCUAGGGUCAUGGUGGAGAUUCGGUGAGACUGAAGAAUGAGAGGUCCUUGGCCUGGCGCCUGGCCCAGGGACACACGGACAGCUGUCUGUCCACCUGCACUUCAGGGGUGGGGCAGGGUGAGCAGCCCCCGACUACCUCUAGCGCUGCUUCCCCUCUGAGCCUCGGCCCAGAUUUAAAGGCAGAAUGCACUCCAUCUCCCAACUCAGAUGGGCCAUCUACAGAGCCAAGAUGGUGAUGGAAGAGGAGAGGAAAGCCUGUGUCAACCCCGAGAAAGCUCUGGCCAGAUGGGGUGAUGGCGGCUGGGAGCGGUCUUGGCCCAGGAAGUGACCGAGGCAGCCAGGUGCUCGGCCUGGGCCUGAGCUGCCGGCCCGGACACACCUGAUGUUCAGAGCCUGGCCCGGGGCCCGGAGACUGCAGCCCGGCUCCAGGAUGAGGGGGCACGUUGCAUAGCCCACAGAGUGAGCGUGGAUGCUGUGGGCCAGGUGUGCCAUUGGAUAGGAGUAGAGCCGUGGGUGCCUGGAGAAAGGCAGGCUGCCGUGGAGGGAAGGGGUGCGUGUGCAGGGGCCCCUCGGGGCAGCGGUCCUGCUCCAGGGGAUGACACACAGGGUCGGCCUCACCCUUUGACUCUGCCGUGAACAGCUGCCGUCCCAGGAACUGCCACGCGGAGGAGUAGGCAACCCGCAGAGGCUUUUGGGCAGGGUGGGCUCACAAGGUCGGGCCUCACAGCAGGCCUGCAGGAGAAGAUGUCAGUCCCUUUUGCAUGUAGCCAGUGGGGGUCCUCCAAGAGCAGUCCGGCUGCUGGGCCCAGGGCCCACCUCCUGGCCUGACUGCUGUCACCCGCCUUGGACAGGUGUUUCUCAGCCAGGGUCCCAAAAGCAAAGUCAGAACCCUGCCGAGCUCGGGGCAGCCGCUCUGGCCUUCAGGAGCUGCCUGGCGUGGCUAAGAAAGGAGAGCGGGGGGGCCAGGCGGAAUGGGGCAGUGGGCCGAGGCCAGUCCCGGGGUGGUUACUCCUCCAGCCUCUGUUUUCUGUUCUAUGAAAUGGGAUGCCCCCUGUGCCCAAGCACGGCACACUCCAAGGCCCUCCCACUGCUGGGGGACGAGCAACGGAAGGAGAAGCCCAGACGGUGUCAGGGUGGGGGCUGCUCUGAGCUGGGCUGUCGGCAGCAGCUCACAGGGGGCCCAGUUGGGGUUUUCAGCCACACCUGUGAGGCUCCCCUACUCCCCCUUUUCCACUGCUUCGACUGUGAAAAGCCCAGCACUGGCUUUCCCAGGCUGACCACAGUCUCCCCAUCCCUGCGGUCCCACAGACAGUAAGCCCAGGCAAAGCCUGGCUGGGACUUUAACCCCCAGCUCCCAGCCCCGUGGGGCCAGGCCGGCCAGGCCCGUGCAGCCCGUCUGUCCUGAUGCCACAGCAUGGCACCUGCCGGCCGCCCGAGGCCACCUGUUCUCCCCAUCCUGGCUGCUGGGUCUCCUUUCCUCCAUGAGCAGCUCCAGCACCUUCCCGUGAACGUGCGUGAGUGUAACCCACGUGUGCCCCCCUGUUCCUGGAGGCUCUGAGUGCAGCCCACAGCUGCUCCCGCUCAGGGGAGAGGCUAGGAGACUCCACACCCACCGGGCCCCCAGACGCUCUGAGUGCUCUGGUCCUCUCUGCCGCACUGGUCCAGGGAAUGGCCCCUGCAGAGAGCGCAGGGCACAGCCCUUCAGCGGAGAGGGAAGAUGUCCCCUCCCGGCCUCCAGAGGCUUCUCCAGAUCUUGCCCCUUGCAUCGGGGUCUGGCAGUGGUGGAUCGAAGCCAGGUCUGGGAUUGCAUCUAGAGCCUCGUCCAGGGGCUGGAAGCAGCAGGGGCUCCAGAAUUUCCCUGUAGGAGCAGUUUGGGAGAGCAGGCAAGUGGGGCUCACUGCUGCAUAAGGAAUGGGGAGCCAGGGCCAGGGGAUGCCUUCCCUGGAUGAGGCAGGUGGUACCAGAUGCGAGGCUGGGUCCAGGUGGCAGAGAACCUUCGCAAACCACCCCUGGGGUUACUCCUGCUGUUCACCUGGGAGAGAGACACGCAUGGACGUGGGGUGCAGGGCCUUGCUGUCAUAAAUAAAGUCUCUGUGAACACUGUUGCAAAUCCUUUACAGCCUCUCUGAUUCUCUCCUUGGGAGAAAAUGCUAGAAGCAGAAUCCCUGGCUCAAAGGACAUGAGCGUUUUUUGCUUGGAGAAGCUGAAACUCACUGACAUGCCAUGCUGUGGGGACCAGGACGCAGGUCUGUGGUUUCUCUGCUUCCACGUUUGGAUCUCGCCUCACUUGUUAGGUGAAAAUAUAUCUCAAAAUAUAUCUCACUACCGUUCCAUCCGCCGGCCUUUAAUCCCUACUCUGCCGUUAAAUGCCUGCCACUGUACACGGCGACGUUUUUCCCGGGGUCUUAGUGUUCUGGGGGUGAUUGGUGAGAGCUUUGUAUGCAUCAGGGACGUCACGUCCGACCCCACUUGUGGCCCAUGGUUUCCCUGUUCUGUUGUCUGUCGCUGAGUUUCUUGUGUUAAAACUGCGUGGUCAAACCUCUCGCUCUGCGGCGUCUCUGCUUCCCAUCCAGGAGCCCGGGAGGUACCCGGCUUGUCUUCCCAAAUUUUCAUGGCUUCAUUGUUCCUGAAAACUCUUGGAUGCAUCUGGAAUUUGUUUCGGUGCCGGGCCAACAUGAGCUUCUCAGCGGCUGGUUUUCGGAGACGCUGCCCCGGUUCCGUCUGUAAGCGACCUCUCUUCCCGAUGCCCAGGUUCUUGCGAAAUCACGCUCGCUCUGGUGCCGCCAACCCCCUCAUGCUGCUUUAUCACCCGUCCUUUGUGUUUCACAGCGCUCACCCUAUUUUUUUGUUUUCCAGAACUUCUCAGCUGUUUUUAGGAACUUUACAAUCAUUUUGGCAAAUUCUGUCAGGGGUUUGACGGAAUGUGUAUUAUGUUCUGAAGGGAUGGAAGAGUGCACCAUGCGGUCAUGCCGCUGGCUCGCCCUCCCUCUCUGGACCCCCCUCACCUCCCCCUCUGCGCCUCCCUCCUUGGAACUGCACUAGGCUCUGCCCUGCGGGUCACCUGCUAGACUCCGUCCCUGCAGUGUCAUCACCGCGAGCCCUGACCCCCGACGGCUUGUCCUCACUCUACCCACGGCAGCCGGAGCCUGAGGCCCACUUGCUUGUCGAGGCACACAACUUUCUGUCGCCCCAGGAAAAGGAAGGACUCGACAGGCUCUCCCACCAAAAGAGGGAGUUGGGACUUUCUCCUGCAUCCGGCGGGAAGCGCCCACAGGUCAGGGGCCAUGUGGGUCGCGAUGGGCUUGAGUGUCGCUUCACGAGGCCGCAGAGCGUCUUGGAACGAUUGGUUGGCUCUUUUUUAAAGAACGAGAAACUUACUGGGAACCGUGGGCUCUACCUUCCUUGGAAGUCACCGCUGGCUGGAAGGAGGAAUGACACGGCUUCUGGCUGGUUUAGCUCCCCUCGCGACACAGAGCCGGGCUCCAGCCUCAGGGGAUGAGAGAAGGCUCUGGAGUCUGCUGGUCUGAGCCGGGUGCACGGCCAGGAGUCAAGGGCACUUUGGCCCGCGGCACCUCCCCAGCAUCACGCACGAUCUCCAGGUAAUUACUAGUGGACGCGGGGUUGUGACCGGCUGAAAACCACGGCAGCUUCCGUGGCGGGCCCGCCUGUCGUGCGGUGGGCCCCGCGGUGUGUAGGCGGAGAUGCAGGCUUGCAGGCAGGUGAUCACGGACAGCGGAGCGGGUGUCUGCCGGGUCCUGACAGUCUGCUGUGUGCCAGGCGCAACUGCUGCCGUGGGCUCCCAGCUGAGCCGCGGGUGCGCAGAGGCCAUCCCCCAGUCUGGAGGUGGCCGGGGGCUCCUGGGGCUCCUUCUCACCCCCGGGGGCCACAGCACGUGGUUUGCUCCCUUGGUGCACAAAGUCCUGACGAGCCAUCACUUCCGAGUUCCAACUGGAGCGUCCCCGCAGAGGGACAUCCUCCCGUGUUGCUGGGCCUGACCCCAACAGGCCCGGCAGGUAUUGGUAAGGGAGUGGGGAGCUUGCCCGUCCCCUCCCCAGGCCAGGAAGAGUUGCAAGGGAUGGCCUGGCGUUUGCUGCCUCCUCCAGGCUGUCUUCAGCAUCCCUUACUCCAGGACCCCUGUCCUGAGACCGCGUGGGAAUGAGGCAACGGAGUCAGGCAGCUGUAUUGAUUCUAAAGCCCCUGCAAGCACAUGGGGGUCGGGGCGCCGAGUGGGCAAGGGGAGGGCUGAGGCAGGAGUGCCCCCGGGAGCAGCAUCUCCGGCCACCGAGAGCAUCACCGGGUCUCCCAGCUCUGGGCGUCCCUCUCCUGCACCACGUGCUCCCCAGCCUGGAUUACUGCCUUCCCCAGCAGACGAAAUGUUGGUAGAUAAAUGACACUUGUAGUAACCUAAUUUCCAUCAACGUAGGAAGGUUAUGGAGAAUAUUCGAAUGCCUAAUGCUUUAUUUGGAAAGGAUCCCAAACAUCACGCCAUCCGGAGUCCCGAGUUCUCGGCCGAUUCUCGGGAUGUUCCUCGGAGUACCGUACUGGCGAUGGGUAGAGACCCACUCCCUCGGCAGCUCAAGAGGCCCCUGAAGGGGGAAGACCAUGUCCUUGAGCAGCUCGCACUCUGGGCGGAGAGAGAGGCCUCCCCUGGGACCUCUCAGCGGGUGAGGCCGUCCUCGGGGCCUUCACGCCUCGCAGGGCCCCGCGUGGACUGGCGUGCCUGCUGGGUCCGUAGACGCCGGGUCGUCCCCGGGGAGGAGGAGCACCGUCCCCACGCGUGUGAGUCAGCAGACCGGCCGCGGGGGGACGGGGUGUUCGCGCCCGCCCACCGCGCUGCUGGCGGCACAGACGAAGCCGCAGAUUUGGAAGUGCUCCGACCCCGGAGUCUCUCCCCAGAGCCCGGCCUCGCCUGUGCCUCUCCUUCCCCGCCAAGCUCUUCCUGAAUUCAGGAACCUCCCUCCUUCCGUGUGUUGUGUCACCGGUGACGGGGGAAGCCGGGAGUGGGCACAAGCCGCCGGGCUGGCUCCGCGGGCCCCCAUGCAUCCAUGCACUCACCGCCCAGCUCGGCCCCGGCGCCCACGGCCGGUCAUGCUUUCUCUGUCCUCGCACCGCGUCCCUCUGCCCGCUGAUUCUGCAGCUCUUCUCAGACAUCACACCCUUUCUGGUAAAUGUCCUAUCACUUCAUUCAAAGGUAUCUCCAGCACGUACCCCUAGAAGAACUCUUCAAAUACAUAUGUACAUGAUUACAUAAACUAUGAAGGCAUCAUCUCACGUGGAAAAAUUAAGGACGAUUUCCUUGUGUAAUCCAGUAUGCAGUCAGCACGCAGCCCCCGUGGGACUGCCGACCCUCCGUCUUCCGUUCCGUCCUCCCUCGCGACUUGCCAGCUUCAGCCGCAUUUGCCCUUGGAACUGCCGACGCCUCAGCUCCUUGUUACCAGGUCCAGCGGCUGCUUCUCAGCCCUGCUCCUGACCUGGCCUUUGACUCUGGCCGACUCUGGGCCCGGUCUCUGUGGCACAACCCCCCAGCUCCCAGGCUCCACCUCUGCUCUCUCUCUGGCUCCGUUCACUCCCGUCUGUCUGUCCCUCUCCCAGGAUGGUCACCUCGUUCCCACACCCUCAGGUGCCUUCCAGGGCCGCGUGAUUCCCGAGUCUACUCCUCCCUGUGCCCCGGGGGCAAUGCCUCUGUCCAUCCCCAAAUCCCAGGCAGCCUUGACACCUCCCAGCCCUUGAUGCCCACAGCCCAUUUGGCUGGUCAACAUCUGUUGACUCGUGGUCCCCAGCGUCAAAUGCCGCGGCCACCGCCCUCCUCACAUGCCAUCUGCUGUCUCCAUCCUCGCAGCAGUCCCCGCCGGUCCUCACGGCCGGUGGACCCCCCAGCUUCAGCCCAGUCAUCUCCAAGUAUGCCUGCGGCUCAUAGGUGUUCAAAGACUAGCUGACACAGGGAUGGUGGGCCCUCACCUCCCGGGUUUGUUUGCGACGUGGAACGGGACGCUCUGGGCUCGCGUCCCGGCCUUGCUCCUCGUCAGAAUGCUCUUUCACUUUUCUUACACAACAGGAAUGUCAGCGACAGCCCCACAGGCGGCCGCGGGGAGGGCCCAUGUGGGGUCUGCCACGGCCCCCUCCUCCCCUCCCUGCGCUCGGAGCAGGGCUGAGGGGCAGCAUGCCCAGCCCCAGCUUGUCCAGGGUGGAGGCUUGCCUCAGCUCUUCCUGCUGGGGACCUAAUUCCCCAGCCUCACUUGUACAUCGAUUUCUUGAACCGUGUUCCUUUGACCCGGAGCUUCGCCCAGGGGUCUGGUGGGAGAGAGUAGGAACUGGAGGGAGACACCCUCCCCACCCCAGACUUGCCACAUCCCAGCAAGUGCGGGGCUCAGAGUUUACCUUCAUUUUACAGGUGAGAAACACUGAAGCACCAAAGCUUCCAGAGGGUUCUACAGGAAUGCUCUGCUGGUCAGUAGUAGCAGGACAUACCAGUGUGGCUGCCUCAUCCAAGGCAGCUGUUUUUCCUAGAAAAUAAGGCCCUCUGGAAUCAGAUCAGAACAGAAGGACACAGGGUUUCAAAAGUUGAGAAAACCGUGGAUGAGGCCACUCUGGGCCAGCCUCACUCUCCCUGGGGCUGCCUACCCCAAGUCACCUGCCUCUCCGGACUUCCUAGGCCCCCCACUGCCUGCCCAAGCACGUGCACACUCACCUCUGCCUCGACCUUCACAGGGGGCCCGAGUGGCCAGGCCCUGGUGGCUGUUUUGUUGUACCCGGCAGUCCCAGGGUUACGUGACGGGGACAGGCUCACAAGGCUGGUGGCCGGGGACAUUCCGGCACUCAUACUUGACAAAGCAGCUUAGCAGCCAAGCACCCCCUUCCCAGCCCUGCCCUACAUCCUUGCUUUCCUGACCCAGAGCUGGGUCCGCAAACCAGGCCCACAGGCCAAAUCCAUCCAGUGCCUGUUUUUGUAAAUAAAGUUUUAUUGAGACGCCCGUUCGUUUACAUAGCAUCUGUGGCUGCUUUUGCCAUAUGAAGGCAGAGUUGAGUCGCUGUGACCCAGACCUUGCGUCCCUCAAAACUUAAAAUGUUGCCCAGCCCAUCACAGAAAGCUCCCCAGUGCCUGUCCUUGACAAUCAGCAGAGCCUUUCAGUUACGGAGACCCCAGUUCAAAUCCAGCCCAUUCUGGGACAAACAGCUUCUGCCCCUUCAGGCUCAGCUUUCUAAAGCGUGAAAUGAGAAGAAACAUCUUACCUCUAGCUUGAGUUUUGCAAAUACAAACUGCAUACGGUGCAGGUGAUUAAUCGGGGACCGUGGUUUGUGCCACACAGACCACCAGCGGUCACAGUCCAGUCAUGGCCCGUGGGCCUGCGUCCUGCUCCAGUGGGAAGCUCACUCCACAGGCAAGGAGAGAAGUGCUGGUGAUGGGCAUCGGUGAUGGUGGAAAGCAUCACUGGCGGGCAUCAGACGCUGGGUUUGCUCAGCACUCACCUUUAUCACUGAAAUGCCUGAGGGAGAACUGCAUUUGAAGUCCCACAUUUAGCACAGGGGCUACAUCAAAUUCAAGCCAGUCCUUCAGAGCCCAGGAUGUGCAGAGACUGGGCCUCGGCUGGGUACUUUUCCUAGAGGAGCUCAUGCUUGUACAACGGAUACAUUGGUUAUCUAUCACUGCAUAACAAAUGUUCCCCACGCAGCUUGAAGCAACACGCAUGUGCAACAUCGCCGUGUGUGGAGGCCAGGUGUUCAGGCACAACUUAGCUGCGUCCUCUGCUUUGGGUCUCCCCCAAGGUGGUAGCCAGGGUGGCUGUCUCAUCUGAAGGCUGGACUGGGGGAGGAGCCAUUUCUAAGCUCACUUGUGUGGUGGUUGGCAGGCCUCUAUCUCAUGGGCUGUUGGACAGAAGCCUCCCUGAGCUCCUUGCCAUGGCGAGCCUCUCCAGGGGGCAUCUCCCUGCAUAGCUGCUGGCUUCUCAGUGCAUGAGAGGGCAGGACAGAGGGCCAGCAAGAUGGGCACCAGCCAUAGAGACGGACAGUCUCCUGGAUGCUAAUCAUGGCACCGCCACCCACCACGCCUGCCACGUUCUGCUGGUCGGAAGCAAGUGCUCACAGGAAGGGAGGGUGUGAGUACCAGGAGGUGGGACCAUGGAGUGUCUCCAUCAUCCAGGAUGCUCGUGUCCAAGGUGUGGAAGGCAGAGCACCCAGGACACACCUGUGCUCUCCUGGCUAACGAAGGAACUGCAAGGAGAGACGGACAUUUAAACACAUCAGCACGUGGUGACAUGACUACUGACAGUCCCUAUGGGGACAUAGCCCAAGCAGGACCGGUGCACCCUCCACGCCUGCUGAGUGAGUCGCUGGACGGUGAGUGCAGGGGAAUGGGCUUGGAGCGAGACACUGUGUUCAGGCCACCUAACUGAGUGCCUCCUCCUUGCCGGCUGCCAAGCUGUGUCCUCUCAAAACUUAAUUCAUUUCGCCUCUGAAACCCAUUAAGUCUGGUAUUUUCUCCUAUUUUACAAAAGAAACUGAGGCUCAGAGAGAUGGAACUGUGUCCCAAGUCCCACAGGCUGAGCCCAGAUCCUAAAACUCACCAUCCAGGGCUUUUCCCACAAUCUUCCAUCUGCAGCCUCCGUAGCCUGGAGUCCAUGACAUUGUUUUUGCAGAUGGUUUUGGGGACCUGUUUCCUGGUUUUUCUUGUUAAGCUUCCUUAAAGUUAUGUUGGUUCUGACUCAGCAGUGAAGUGAUUGGAGGAAAGACGGGCAUCUGAGCUCAAGUGAGGGGCACCAGGCUGAGUGAGAUGGGGCUGGACUGAGGCGGCCACUCCAGGAACCCGGGAACGUGGCCUCGGAUCCCCUGCCCUCCCCCGCGCGUUGCGCUGGGCGUCAAGGGCUGCCAGGCCCUUCUCUCACACCAGUGCGGUGUGAGUUGAGACCCGGGGCCAGGCCCUUCUCUCUCCGCCCCGGUCUUCCCCUGCAGGAAAGGCAGUGAUGAGAGCCCGCCUCCUGGGGUUAUGAGGGUGAGGUGAGCCCAGACAAAAGGCUUGCACACGCACCCCCGCGCCGUCCUCAGCACUGUGGUCACACCCCCUGAUGGGUCACAAUGAUUCCAGCAGCCGGCAAACUAGAUGAGAACACCACUCUUCAAAAGGCCCUGCAGAUGUCUGGGGAGAAGGGCUUUGGUUUGAGAAAAGGGUGAUCCAUGUCUUUCGUGUUCAUUACAGAUUUAUAAAACACGAUCUUCUCACUUUGAAUUCUGUUAUAGGCUUUUUUAAACGUUACUGUGUGAUGUCGAACUGAACCCUGGUUUACAGACCUGGAGUUCCUCAGGGCAGGCCUGGCAGCUGCCUGACCUCCUGCGGGGCCCCGGGCAUUGGACUUGAUGUUGGUGACAACAGUGAUUCUCCUGUCUUCCUUCU